UUACGAGAAAUAUUUGUAUUAAUAUAAAGUUUCAUAGUAAAUUCCAAAGAACUAAAUUAUCAUAUUACCAAAAGUAUAUCUAUCAACUUUAUAAUAUUUAUUAAACACAUAAAAUAUAAACAAUUAGGUAGCAAUGGAAACACAUUUAACAACUCCAAAAAAAAAUAAAAAUUGUGUCUCUGGUCUUCAACUUGUUCUUCGAUAUUUUUAGUUAGACUUGAUCAUCUGCACUUUAUUUGUGGAUUGUUAAGACUCCAAAUUUUAACAUCUGUAAAAAGAAAAAGUUCAUGUUAGUUUAGUAACAGAUGCUAGUUUUUUCUGCAAAAUCAAAAUAAAUCAAUAAGAAAAUAAAUACAUCUUUAUGACUAUCCAAUUAAAUUUAUUCAACAAGAGAACUUAAUUUAGUUGAAUGGAACUGCCCAAAGAGAGUUUUUCUCUUCUUUUUUUGAGUAAGAAAAGUCCUAUUUGAAUAUAGAAGCCUGGACUAUCACAACAAAAGCUAUGUAAUAAGAAGUGAACAAUUACACUAGUAUGGAGUCACACUAGUGGAGUCAUUGUAUACGUCCCUGUCAUUUGAUUUUUCUUCUCUUUUAUUGAUACCUAAGGAAUAUAAUAGGGGUAUUGCAAGAAGCAUGUUUCAACAAGUUAUAAUUGAAUCACAAAUUCCAAGAGCAAGUAGUUCAGAUUAGAGGCAAUCUUUCUGUUUAUGUGUCAACAUCAUGAUAAUCAUAUACGCUAAUGCCUCACUUUUUAUCAAGCCUACCAUCAUCAACAUACUUCACAAGGAGAUUCAGGCCAAUAACAAGCCCUCACGAACUCCCCAUAACAACAUAUAUCAACAAUGAACUCCAACACUACUAUCUACAAUAAUUAAAAUGAAAAGUUAUACGCUUCACAAUCAAUAAAAAAAGAAAUGAAAAAAGUUUUGAUUUGACACUUGAGCAACAUUAAGGAUCAAGGUUUGUAAGUAUAUCAUAUCCUACUCUACAAGAAGUUUUCCUUUUAAAUUCAACAUUACAAGAAGUUAAAGGAAGAUAUAUUAGUGCUAAAUUGUUUAAUCAACCUCAUUUAAAAUUUUGAACCAUUAAAAAUAUAAGGCACAAUUCAACAUAAUAACAAAGUAAGUAGAGGUCCUAAGUUUUAAGUGUCACUACCACCUAUUAUCAAGAAAGUAUUUUACGUAUUUGACAUAUGAAAAGAUCAAGUUUGCACAUGAGAACAAGAGAUAAUCUACUUAAAUGUAACUAAGAGUAAAUAAAGUGUCUCUCUAGCGACUUAAGAUUACAGAUCAGUUAUUCACACACAAUUCAAGAACUGACACCUUGUCUUUAAGCUGUUAUACCCGAGAAACGCAGAAAUUGGCAAGAGAUAAGCUUGAUGGUAGUCAUGCUUGAAAAUCUUAGCUUUAUAUUUUAUUCACCAACUAAGGAUUGAAAAUAAUCCUAGAAGAAUGAGAAGAUACCAAGCUCUGCAUAGCUUUAAGUUUGAAGAAAAAAGGUAGUUCUUAUAAGGAUAAAAAGUUCCAAUAACUAAGUUGAUGAGUUAAUUAUAAGAACUUGGUUGUUUAGUAUAAGUCAACAGCCACUGAGUUCUCUGAUUCCUUUCUGCAGUAUCAUUGAUAUUAAAUUGUUGUAGCUCAAUGCUGAUCAUCUCAUUAGGCAGUGACUACAAUUCUUUUUCUCCUCUUUUUUUGGUUAAAUAUGAAACUAAAUGUUCUCAUAUAUAAAGAGUAUUAAACAUGUCUUAAAAUUUUAUACAUGUCCCAAAUAAAGAGUCACGUGAGCCUCUCUCUUGUCACAACUCGAAAAGACAUUAUUCCUUUUCAGGUUAGUGCUAAUAAUGGCAAGUACUAAAUAAUAAUUAUAAUCACAACUAGCCGCCUUAGUAUGCAAAGCCAACUCUUUGCCCCAUGAUAAUAUGAAACCAACUCUCUUGUCUUCUUUGGAUAAGACAACAUUCUUAUACUAUACGAACUAUUAAUGUUGCAUAAACAAAUCUUGUAGAAACAACAUUGGAAUGACGACAUAUCACAACAAAUAGAGGUUCAGUUCCUAAAGAACCUAUAUGAAAGAGAAUUUAAAUCAAAUUCUUGAGAAAUAUAUAAAAUUGUAUAGUAAUAGCAACUCAUACAACUUAACAUUCUGCAUCUUUUUGAAUUCAUUCCCCUUAACUUGAUUUUAUACAUUCUUUAUCCAAACUUCAAUCAAGUCAAAAAGAAAUUAUCAUAAAAUAAUAAAAAAAAAAACAACAACAUACCCGGUAUAAUCUCACUAAGUGGGGUUUUGUAGAUGAUAGAGUGUUGCAGACCGUACCACUACCUCAUGAAGAUAGAGAGGUUGUUUCCGAAACACCCCUGUCUCAAGAUAACUCUAUCUUACCUAAUCAUAAAAAUAUCACUGAGAAUUCGUCAACAUGUUAAAAUUAAUUUUCAUAUUUGUAUGAAAGUAGUUACUGAAAAUAAAAAUUGAACUUGUAUCUAAGGCAUAGGAUGCAUAAUAUGCAGUACUUGACUCGUGAAAAUUAGGAUAAGAAUAAGAAUAAACAUAACAAGCUGACAAAAAGUAACAUACUAUAAUGUUCAAGAGGGGAAACAACAGGUGGCAAUGAAAUCGGUAUGUACAGAAACUUUAUUUGCACUAAAGUUCUCAUGAGCUGAAUAAGUUAUAAAACCACUUGAUAUUGCUCCAGAUCAUAAGAAAAAGCUGCAGCAAUGGCUUAUUCAUCACGUCUUCAUCAAAUCAGUUAAUAAAUAUAUUCAGUUCAUGGAACAGGGAAAACAAAACCUCUGUACAUGUGAUUUUUGCUUCAUGCAAACACUUCAAAACUAAAAUUAAACUACUAAUGAAAAUGGAGAAAGGAAUAUACAAGGAUUGUCAAGAAACUCAGCACAAAAGGAUAAUACAAAUCUUUAUGCAAACAACUUUUGUACCAGUACAACAUAAAAAUUCAAAAUUAGAAACUACAUAUAUUUCAUUAUAGUUUCAACUCACUGUAAUGUCUAACAUGUAUUGCACAUCUUCUCUACUAUAUAAUGAACAACAUUGUCUUAAAAGCACACCACUUGAACAUUCUUUAAUGAGGAAAUCCGUUAUACUUCUAAACAGUUAAACCAGAAAUUCAUUAGUUAUGUCCUGUUAGUUUACGUAGUCCUCACAGAAAUAGGAUUCCCAUCAAGUAUAGCUCGAAUGUGUCCCGUAAUUCUUUACAUUAUUAGUGGAUAUUUUGAGGGUGAAGAUCUCCACCAGACAUCAUAAAACAAAUUGUCUUUUGUUGGGUGUUUGCAAUUUUCUAAUUUCUUUCACUCCAAAUGCAUAGUAAGUUUGCUCUCUCUAUAGCAUUUUCUUUUGUUGCCUAAACAAUCUUACUCUUUGUUUUUCAAUCAUAUAAUUUUUUAACCAUGCAACAUACUAAAUGUGUAUGUGUAGAACAAAGGUUCAUCUAUUUCAUAGUAUUACAUUAGAUACACUAUUACAUCAGAAAUAAAGUUUUGUUUUGACCACAUAAAUAUUUAUUUCUUAUCUAGUUCAUAGUCUUAGAAUCCUCCAAUUGAAAUAGAAUUAGUCAUCUUUCUCUUUAAAUUCAAAAGCAUCACUGCCUGCCACUCUCGGUGCAAAAAAAUACUUAGUUUAGCUCUAGAAUGACAGAUAGGAUUAACAAAAUUAUUCAAUAAUCACAAUCAUUCAUCAACUUUAUUUUCAAUCAAAGAUACCACCAAAUAUCUUCUAAGUUUAAUAACACAAGCAGACAAAAAUAUUAAUACAAGUAGAUAGAAAACCAUGUAAAAAGAACCCUACUUAAAACAUAGAGAGUAAAUUUAUGAUCAGACAAACUCUGCGCUCCACAACUGCAAUUGAUGGUUAAAACUGCAGAAACAUGCCUAGAUGAGCAGGAAAUAAGCAUGCUAGUUCCUUUGUGCAACUACUGAUGCCGACGAGCAGACAGGUUGAAAAUGAUCAGAAAGUUGAUUUUCUUUUCUUCUUCUUUUGUAGUUCACAAUAGAAUCCACCAACCAAACAGUUCAAAACCAAAAUGGCUUACUUUGAUGUAAAAUGGUUGCGAAAACUGCAAUAGAUGAAAAAAAAAGAAUAUCAUACCCAUAUUCAACGCACUGAAUCACGUUAUUAGGUUUUAGGGUAAUCUUCGGCCCUCAAUCUCCAUAGAUGUAAUUAAGAUGCUUGCUUACUGGGUCCUUCAUCGCAGAUUGAGAUUGCAUCGGCUCCAAAUCGACAAAUUGAAAGAAUUUUGGCAGAAAGUCCACUCCUUUUAACAAAACCUAAUAUAUUUUUGGGAUCAAAAGAGAGAAUUCUGAGGUUUAUGUUUCUCGGGUUUGGAGAAAAUGGGGGAAAAGGUAGUGGGCCUUAUUUUUUAAUCA
rnacentral:lncRNA from 1 species